UAAUAAUUAAAAAAUUAUUCAAAAAUUUCAUCUAUUUCCAAUAGUCCGCAUUCAUCAAAAUCAUCUAUGUUUUCUAAAUAUGCAAAUUGCAAAAAAUGUUGUGGUCUAUGAACCUCAUCAUAAAAUGCAUUAGGCUUGUCCACUAUAUAUGAACAUUUAGAGGAAUAAUUGUACUUAACCACCAUGGAAUUGUAGCUCCAUACGCCAUCUUCCGGAAUUAGAAAGAAUCCAUUAUAAGUUUCCGAAAGUAUCAGCUUGAUUUUUUCUGUAUAAUCUGAUGAACAAGUUUUAAAAGUUUCAUAGUUCAAGUCCUUAUUUUCAAUGUUAUUUUUAUACCAAUCAAUACAGUCAUGAUCUAAUUUAAUUGCAGAAAGGGUAGUGGAUCCUGGGGUAAAGCUGCAGCUAACCAUCGCGAUAUUGUCUACUUGAACAUCCAAAUUAUUUUGAGAAAUCCUCCAUAAGUAAUCAAUAUCAGAUAUAGCUAUAGAAAACUCUUCUUGGACUUUGGUUUUUAUUAAUCCAAUAAAUUCUAAGUCUGAAAUUUCCGGGUUUUUGGGCAGAAUGUCAGUCAUAUUAAUAGAGUUUUGAUUGCCAUGUUGAGGAGCUAAUACUAAACAUCUUAUCUCAAUAACAGUUUCCAUUUCACAACUAUUUUCGGAAUAGCAUUUUCCUUUCCCGAUCGAUUCAACGAUUUUUUUACCAUACAUAAAUGCUCCAAUCUGCGUCCUUAAAUCUGAAAUUUCAAUAAAUGUUUUCAAUAAAUUUUUUGGGAUAAUAUAUGGGAUAAUCGAGUUAUUUGAAAUGUUAAGAAUUGAAUCAUCAGAUAAAAUAUAAAUAUUAUCGCUUCUUAAGCUUAAAGUCGUUGAAGCUAAAGCUCUUGCUCUCCAGUCGGUUUUCGAAGAGAAAGUCUUCUGUUCAUAUUGUGUUUGAGUCGUGACUACAAUUUCCUGCCCAUGAACGUUGACCGUUUUAGUAGUUAAACUAGUAAUAUCCGAACAUUCAGUCGUUUUGUUCGCAAGAUCCUUAACUUGUC
rnacentral:antisense_RNA from 1 species